GCCGGUGUGGCUCAGUGGUUAGAGUGUCAGCCCAUGCACUGAUGGGUCGCGGGUUCGAUUCCUAGCCAAGGGCA
rnacentral:tRNA from 1 species